AGUUUGAUCCUGGCUCAGGAUGAACGCUAGCUACAGGCUUAACACAUGCAAGUCGAGGGGAAACGACAUCGAAAGCUUGCUUUUGAUGGGCGUCGACCGGCGCACGGGUGAGUAACGCGUAUCCAACCUGCCCACCACUUGGGGAUAACCUUGCGAAAGUAAGACUAAUACCCAAUGAUAUCUCUAGAAGACAUCUGAAAGAGAUUAAAGAUUUAUCGGUGAUGGAUGGGGAUGCGUCUGAUUAGCUUGUUGGCGGGGUAACGGCCCACCAAGGCGACGAUCAGUAGGGGUUCUGAGAGGAAGGUCCCCCACAUUGGAACUGAGACACGGUCCAAACUCCUACGGGAGGCAGCAGUGAGGAAUAUUGGUCAAUGGGCGAGAGCCUGAACCAGCCAAGUAGCGUGCAGGAUGACGGCCCUAUGGGUUGUAAACUGCUUUUAUAAGGGAAUAAAGUGAGUCUCGUGAGGCUUUUUGCAUGUACCUUAUGAAUAAGGACCGGCUAAUUCCGUGCCAGCAGCCGCGGUAAUACGGAAGGUCCGGGCGUUAUCCGGAUUUAUUGGGUUUAAAGGGAGCGUAGGCCGGAGAUUAAGCGUGUUGUGAAAUGUAGAUGCUCAACAUCUGCACUGCAGCGCGAACUGGUUUCCUUGAGUACGCACAAAGUGGGCGGAAUUCGUGGUGUAGCGGUGAAAUGCUUAGAUAUCACGAAGAACUCCGAUUGCGAAGGCAGCUCACUGGAGCGCAACUGACGCUGAAGCUCGAAAGUGCGGGUAUCGAACAGGAUUAGAUACCCUGGUAGUCCACGCGGUAAACGAUGGAUGCUCGCUGUUUGCGUCUGACGUAAGCGGCCAAGCGAAAGCGUUAAGCAUCCCACCUGGGGAGUACGCCGGCAACGGUGAAACUCAAAGGAAUUGACGG
rnacentral:rRNA from 1 species